rnacentral:sRNA from 1 species
UCCAGGGCUACACACGUGUUACAAUGGUUAGCACAAAGGGUCGCAAAGCCGCAAGGUUGAGCCAAUCCCAUAAAACUAACCUCAGUUCGGAUUGGAGUCUGCAACUCGACUCCAUGAAGUCGGAAUCGCUAGUAAUCGUGGAUCAGAACGCUACGGUGAAUACGUUCCCGGGUCUUGUACACACCGCCCGUCACGCCAUGGAAGUCAGCAGUACCCGAAUCGGGUGGCCUAACCUUCGGGAGGGAGCUCGUUAAGGUAAGGCUGGUAACUGGGGCGAAGUCGUAACAAGGUAGCCGUACCGGAAGGUGCGGCUGGAUCACCUCCUUUCUAAGGAGUACUGUGAAGAAAUUCACAGGACGGUCGAAAUUGAAUCAACAGACUCACUUGCAUACCAAAGUAUUGGGCUUGUAGCUCAGGUGGUUAGAGCGCUGCCCUGAUAAGGCAGAGGUCCGUGGUUCGAGUCCACGCAGGCCCACCACUUAGCUGCAGUCAAAAAUUGGGGCUUUAGCUCAGUUGGGAGAGCGCCUGAUUUGCAUUCAGGAGGUCAUCGGUUCGAUCCCGGUAAGCUCCACAAGAUUUUUGCUUUUUGAAAAUUGGGAAAUUGGAUAACUGACAUUAUUUUUUAAUAAUAGAUGUAGCCAAGUCAUCUUCAAGAAAGACACUUUAGUAAAGCUACUAAGGGCGUACGGGGGAUGCCUAGGCACAUGGAGGCGAUGAAGGACGUGAUAAGCUGCGAAAAGUUUCGGGGAG